UGCAUCAAUGGUUUAAUGGCAGAAUACAAGCUUCCCAAGCUUGAGAUUCGGGUUCGAUUCCCGGUUGGUGCAU
rnacentral:tRNA from 1 species